rnacentral:rRNA from 1 species
CACUAUCGUUAAGUGAAUACAUAGCUUAACGAAGCGAACCGGGGGAACUGAAACAUCUAAGUACCCCGAGGAAAAGAAAUCAACCGAGAUUCCCCCAGUAGCGGCGAGCGAACGGGGAGGAGCCCAGAGUCUGAAUCAGCGCGUGUGUUAGUGGAACGGUCUGGAAAGUCCGGCGGUACAGGGUGAUAGCCCCGUACACUAAAAUGCACACGUUGUGAACUCGAAGAGUAGGGCGGGACACGUGGUAUCCUGUCUGAAUAUGGGGGGACCAUCCUCCAAGGCUAAAUACUCCUGACUGACCGAUAGUGAACCAGUACCGUGAGGGAAAGGCGAAAAGAACCCCGGCGAGGGGAGUGAAAAAGAACCUGAAACCGUGUACGUACAAGCAGUGGGAGCCUACUUGUUAGGUGACUGCGUACCUUUUGUAUAAUGGGUCAGCGACUUAUAUUCUGUAGCAAGGUUAACCGUAUAGGGGAGCCGCAGGGAAACCGAGUCUUAACUGGGCGUUAAGUUGCAGGGUAUAGACCCGAAACCCGGUGAUCUAGCCAUGGGCAGGUUGAAGGUUGGGUAACACUAACUGGAGGACCGAACCGACUAAUGUUGAAAAAUUAGCGGAUGACUUGUGGCUGGGGGUGAAAGGCCAAUCAAACCGGGAGAUAGCUGGUUCUCCCCGAAAGCUAUUUAGGUAGCGCCUCGUGAA